rnacentral:rRNA from 1 species
CCUACGGGUGGCAGCAGUAGGGAAUCUUCCACAAUGGACGAAAGUCUGAUGGAGCAACGCCGCGUGAGUGAAGAAGGGUUUCGGCUCGUAAAGCCCUGUUGGUAGGGAAGAAAGAUAGAGGUAGUAACUGGCCUUUAUUUGACGGUAAUUACUUAGAAAGUCACGGCUAACUACGUGCCAGCAGCCGCGGUAAUACGUAGGUGGCAAGCGUUGUCCGGAUUUAUUGGGCGUAAAGCGAGUGCAGGCGGUUCAAUAAGUCUGAAUGGAAAGCCUUCGGCUCAACCGGAGAAUUGCAUCAGAAACGGUUUAACUUGGGUGCAGAAGAGGAGGGUGGAACUCCAUGUGUAGCGGUGGAAUGCGUAGAUAUAUGGGAGAACACCAGUGGCGAAGGCGGCUCUCUGGUCUGCAACUGACGCUGAGGCUCGAAAGCAUGGGUAGCGAACAGGAUUAGAUACCCUUGUAGUC